rnacentral:rRNA from 1 species
UGUCUUUAUGGCAAAUGUGAGAUGCAGUGUAUGGAAUGUCAAAUUUCUAGUAUGAGAAAUUAACGAUUUAAGUCCUUCUUAAAUGAGGCCAUUUACCCAAAGAGGGUGCCAGGCCCGUAUAACGUUAAUGAUUACUAGAUGACAUUUCCAAAGAGUCGUGUUGCUUGAUAGUGCAGCACUAAGUGGGUGGUAAACUCCAUCUAAAACUAAAUAUAACCAUGAGACCGAUAGUAAACAAGUACCGUGAGGGAAAGUUGAAAAGAACUCUGAAUAGAGAGUUAAAUAGUACGUGAAACUGCUUAGAGGUUAAGCCCGAUGAACCUGAAUAUCCAUUAUGGAAAAUUCAUCAUUAUGACUUUAAUAUUUAUAAUAUUAAAAUAAUGGUGUGCAUUUUUUCCAUAUAAGGACAUUGUAAUCUAUUAAUAAACAGAUUUAUUAUAAGAUCAUUGCUUUAGUUUAUUCAAAUUAUUUUGCUUGCAAUUUAACAUAGAAUAAAUGCUUUUGAUUUGAUAAAGUGUUGAUAGAUUUAUUAUAUAUAGUGCUUGAAUAAUUCUAUUCUAUAAUAGCGUAUUGAUCAAUGAUUUUUAUGUUCAUUAUAUGCACUUAUAUGAUUAACAAUGCGAAAGAUUCAGGAUACCUUCGGGACCCGUCUUGAAACACGGACCAAGGAGUCUAACAUAUUUGCAAGUUAUUGGGAAUUAAAAACCUAAUAGCGAAAUUAACAUAACUUAUAUAAUGGGAUUAGUUUUUAGGUCUAUUUUUAUAGUCUAUUAAUUCAAUCCCGGGGCGUUCUAUACAGUAUGA